UUGCUCAUUUCAGCAGUAGAUGCGCUAAAAUUGGAAUGAUACAGAGAAGAUCAGCCUCUGUGCAAAAAUGACACACAAAUUCGUGAGGUGUUCCACGUUUUA
ensembl:snRNA U6 U6 spliceosomal RNA